UACGUAGGGGGCUAGCGUUGUCCGGAAUCAUUGGGCGUAAAGCGCGCGUAGGCGGCCAGAUAAGUCCGGUGUGAAAGCCACAGGCUCAACCUGUGAAUGCCGCUGGAAACUGUCUGGCUAGAGUCCGGGGAGGGGCGAGUGGAAUUCCUGGUGUAGCGGUGAAAUGCGCAGAUAUCAGGAGGAACACCAAUGGCGAAGGCAGCUCGCUGGAACGGAACUGACGCUGAGGCGCGAAAGCGUGGGGAGCGAACAGG
rnacentral:rRNA from 1 species